rnacentral:tRNA from 1 species
AAGGAAUUAGUUUAAGUUAAAACAUUAACUUGUCAAGUUAAAAUUAUUUAUAAAUAAAUAUCCCUUG